GGGGGGGGGUGGGGGGGGGCCUAGGGGAUGGAAGUCGAGCGAACAGACGAGGAGCUUGCUCCUCUGACGUUAGCGGCGGACGGGUGAGUAACACGUGGAUAACCUACCUAUAAGACUGGGAUAACUUCGGGAAACCGGAGCUAAUACCGGAUAAUAUAUUGAACCGCAUGGUUCAAUAGUGAAAGACGGUUUUGCUGUCACUUAUAGAUGGAUCCGCGCCGCAUUAGCUAGUUGGUAAGGUAACGGCUUACCAAGGCAACGAUGCGUAGCCGACCUGAGAGGGUGAUCGGCCACACUGGAACUGAGACACGGUCCAGACUCCUACGGGAGGCAGCAGUAGGGAAUCUUCCGCAAUGGGCGAAAGCCUGACGGAGCAACGCCGCGUGAGUGAUGAAGGUCUUCGGAUCGUAAAACUCUGUUAUUAGGGAAGAACAAAUGUGUAAGUAACUAUGCACGUCUUGACGGUACCUAAUCAGAAAGCCACGGCUAACUACGUG
rnacentral:rRNA from 1 species